rnacentral:piRNA from 4 species
CUCUGGACUCUGAAUCCAGCGAUC